rnacentral:rRNA from 1 species
AUUGAACGCUGGCGGCAUGCCUUACACAUGCAAGUCGAACGGUAACAGCUCUUCGGAGGCUGACGAGUGGCGAACGGGUGAGUAAUACAUCGGAACGUGCCCGAUCGUGGGGGAUAACGGAGCGAAAGCUUUGCUAAUACCGCAUACGAUCUACGGAUGAAAGCAGGGGACCCUCGGGCCUUGAGCGAACGGAGCGGCCGAUGGCAGAUUAGGUCGUUGGUGGGGUAAAAGCUUACCAAGCCGACGAUCUGUAGCUGGUCUGAGAGGACGACCAGCCACACUGGGACUGGGACACGGCCCAGACUCCUACGGGAGGCAGCAGUGGGGAAUUUUGGACAAUGGGCGAAAGCCUGAUCCAGCAAUGCCGCGUGCAGGAUGAAGGCCUUCGGGUUGUAAACUGCUUUUGUACGGAACGAAAAGUCUCGGGCUAAUACCCUGGGACCAUGACGGUACCGUAAGAAUAAGCACCGGCUAACUACGUGCCAGCCGCCGCCGUAA